UGAGGAAUAUUGGUCAAUGGGCGGGAGCCUGAACCAGCCAAGUCGCGUGAAGGAAGAAGGAUCUAUGGUUCGUAAACUUCUUUUGCAGGGGAAUAAAGUGCAGGACGUGUCCUGUUUUGUAUGUACCCUGAGAAUAAGGAUCGGCUAACUCCGUGCCAGCAGCCGCGGUAAUACGGAGGAUCCGAGCGUUAUCCGGAUUUAUUGGGUUUAAAGGGUGCGUAGGUGGUUUGAUAAGUCAGCGGUGAAAGUUUGCAGCUUAACUGUAAAAAUGCCGUUGAAACUGUCGGACUUGAGUGUAAAUGAGGUAGGCGGAAUGCGUGGUGUAGCGGUGAAAUGCAUAGAUAUCACGCAGAACUCCGAUUGCGAAGGCAGCUUACUAAGCUACAACUGACACUGAAGC
rnacentral:rRNA from 1 species